AUGUGGCGUACGCUCCGUGGUGUGAUCCCGUGCCGUGUUGUCCUUGCUGAUCGCCACAUUGGAACACUUUCCCAAUGUCCAGUCUGUGAAAAGGCCAAAGAGGAUACUAGACAUGCAUUAUUCACCUGCGAGCGAGCUAGGAAAGUUUGGAGCAGGCUGGGAGUAACAGACAAGAUCAAUCAAGCUCUAGAGAUCGGUAGAGCUGGCGCUAUUCUUGAGAAAUUAUUGUGCAACUCUGAUGCAAACCAGGUAUACCUCAGCCAGAUACCCAUGGCCUCUCUCUAUGCUGUUAACAACAACAAAGCCUUUAGUUCCAAACAAGUUGGGGUAGCCUAG
rnacentral:rRNA from 1 species